AAAAUUAAAGGUCUAAUCUGCCCAAUGAUAUUUGAAUGGCCGCGGUAACUUGACCGUGCAAAGGUAGCAUAAUUAUUAGUCUUUUAAUUGGAGGCUUGAAUGAAAGAUUGGAUGAAAAAUAAACUUUAUUAAUAUAAAUUAUUUAACUUAUCAUUUAAGUAAAAAUUCUUAAAUUUGUAAGUGGGACAAGAAGACCCUAUAGAGUUUUAUUAUUAUUUUUAUUAUUAAAUUCAAGAAUUAAUAUUUUUAUCAUAAAAAUAAUUUUUUUGUUGGGGUGAUGUUAAAAAUUAAUAAACUUUUAAUUAAUGUUUCAUUAAUAUAUGUAUAAUUGAUCCAAAAAAUUUUGAUUAUAAGAUCUAAUUACCUUAGGGAUAACAGCGUUAUUAAUUUGAAGAGUUCAAAUCGAUAAAUUAGUUUGCGACCUCGAUGUUGGAUUAAGAAUAAAUUUUGAAGAAGUAUUUAAAAUUAUAGGUCUGUUCGACCUUUAAAUUCUUACG
rnacentral:rRNA from 1 species